GCGUCUGUAGCUCAGCCCGGUAGAGCACUCGGCUUUUAACCGAUUGGUCCUAGGUUCAAAUCCUAGCAGACGCACCA
rnacentral:tRNA from 1 species